UGAAGUCAGGUGAUGAUCAGAAGCAUAGUUCAAAUGAUAAAUCAUUUUUUAACGUGAUUAUAAAAUUUCUGAAGUCUUUCGCUCCUAUCUGAUGGCACUU